UUGAACGCUGGCGGCAGGCCUAACACCUGCCAGUCGAACGGUAACAGGAAACAGCUUGCUGUUUCGCUGACGAGUGGCGGACGGGUGAGUAAUGUCUGGGAAACUGCCUGAUGGAGGGGGAUAACUACUGGAAACGGUAGCUAAUACCGCAUAACGUCGCAAGACCAAAGAGGGGGACCUUCGGGCCUCUUGCCAUCGGAUGUGCCCAGAUGGGAUUAGCUAGUAGGUGGGGUAACGGCUCACCUAGGCGACGAUCCCUAGCUGGUCUGAGAGGAUGACCAGCCACACUGGAACUGAGACACGGUCCAGACUCCUACGGGAGGCAGCAGUGGGGAAUAUUGCACAAUGGGCGCAAGCCUGAUGCAGCCAUGCCGCGUGUAUGAAGAAGGCCUUCGGGUUGUAAAGUACUUUCAGCGGGGAGGAAGGGAGUAAAGUUAAUACCUUUACUCAUUGACGUUACCCGCAGAAGAAGCACCGGCUAACUCCGUG
rnacentral:rRNA from 1 species